ACAUAUAAAUAUUGAUUGAUAACGUAAGGGAAAAUUAUGAUAUUACCUUACUAUUAGUGUCGUCCAAAUCUGGUGCCAGAAGACUCGGUAAGGCCAGAGACGCAAACGUUAAUCGUCUUAAACAGGCGUAAAGGGUUUGUAGGCAGCUUUGAAUUUUCUCUUUUCCAAGUAAUUAGAUAAUUAAUCAAAGCUAGAAUCAAAUAGAGGUUAUAUUAUAUAAUGCUUAAAGUAGGUCUAAUAUCCUAACAGAUUAAGUGGAAUAUUAAAAGCGAAGGCUUAUUUACCAUAAAUGAUUGACGNUGAGAAACGAAGGUGAGGAUAGGAAAUAGGAUUAGAUACCCAAAAUACCCCUCUCUGUC
rnacentral:rRNA from 1 species